UACGUAGGGGGCAAGCGUUGUCCGGAUUUAUUGGGCGUAAAGAGCGUGUAGGCGGCUUGGUAGGUCCGCUGUGAAAACUCGAGGCUCAACCUCGAGAUGUCGGCGGAAACCACUUGGCUAGAGUCCGGAAGAGGAGAGUGGAAUUCCCGGUGUAGCGGUGAAAUGCGCAGAUAUCAGGAAGAACACCCGUGGCUAAGGCGGCUCUCUAGUACGGUACUGACGCUGAGACGCGAAAGCGUGGGGAGCGAACAGG
rnacentral:rRNA from 1 species